rnacentral:lncRNA from 1 species
AUGGUCCAUACACUACUCUUGGAUAAUAUGGUGAGCAAAGAGCCCAACCAUUUGCCAACCGUUCACAGCCAUAGCAAUGGCAACCCAGACAAAACACCUACCACUGUGACUGUGCGCUCAGUGCUCCUCAACCGGAACUCUCCAGAUAUUGAAAGCAGACUUAAACGGAGAAGAAAUCGCACACAGCAAGUACGUUUUAAAGAUUUGGAGGAUGAUGAUGUGUCUAAUGAUAAAAAUGAGAAGAUGAGGAGUAAGAGCCCAACAGAGGUUCCAAACUGGCAGAAAGAGUUGACAAACGGGCCCUCAUUGGUGGGAGCAGUCCGCGGGGACAUGGAAAAGACAAUUGGAGCAGUGACAGCAUUUUUGAAGAGAGCACCACCGCACCCACUUACCCCUGGGCCUGCCAGACGGUGCUGGGUCCCAACACAUCCCUGUUCGCUCACAUUGCCACUGCCAAAUCAGCCAUGCAAAAGUACAGCCAUACAAACCUCACCCAGUUUGCAGAAGCCUCCCUCGCUCUCUGCCACACAGACUCGCAGUCACAGCCUGGGGGGAGCCUGGGAGGAUGGAGACUCCUCUGAUGAGCUGACUGCACAUGUCUACAUUCCACCUUGUAGAUCAAAGAAGAGCUCUGUCCAACAUUGUACCCCUGCUGAGCAAUCAAGGGUCAAGAGAACUGAGGACAAUCAAACUGCCUCUGUGGGUACAUCAACACAAAAACAGUCUAGAAGGAGGUGUAGGAGGAAAUCUUUAAACAGAGCAGCAAGUGAUCCUGGGAAACCUGAGCCUCAUUUUACUUCCCCAACUAAAACUGUGCACAGAAGCCACCAACAGUCUAAACAACCCAAGAAGCUUCCAUCCAAAGCUGUGGCGCACAGAACUUCACCAGAUAUUGUAUCCAUGCAGUGUUCCCCCACGCCCAACACAGUUCAUAAUAUGCCUUGUAGUGUCUCUUCCACACAGACUGAAGCAAGAAUUGAGUCAAAAAUCCAAAACUGUCCCAGACAACACAACAUCUUUGCAAAAACCUAA